UACGUAGGAUCCAAGCAUUAUCCGGAAUUACUGGGCGUAAAGAGUUGCGUAGGUGGCAUUGUAAGCAGGGCAUGAAAUCGUGUGGCUCAACCAUACGGCUAUGUUCUGAACUGCAAAGCUAGAGAGCGAGAGGGGUAGAUGGAAUUACUAGUGUAGGAGUGAAAUCCGUAGAUAUUAGUAGGAACACCGAUAGCGUAGGCAGUCUACUGGCUCGUCUCUGACACUCAGGCACGAAAGCGUGGGGAGCGAACAGG
rnacentral:rRNA from 1 species